AAUGAAGUGCCUGAUAAAAGGAUAACUUUGAUAGAGUUAAUUAUGUAAUUUUACCUUCAUUA
rnacentral:tRNA from 1 species